rnacentral:sRNA from 3 species
GGUGGAAACGAGAAUAAAACGUGAAGGAUAACGUUGCGUCAGCAACGGCCCGUAGGGCGAGGCGAAGCCGAGUCAUCCUGCACGACCCACCA